GACGAACGCUGGCGGCGUGCCUAAUACAUGCAAGUAGAACGCUGAAGGAGGAGCUUGCUUCUCUGGAUGAGUUGCGAACGGGUGAGUAACGCGUAGGUAGCCUGCCUGGUAGCGGGGGAUAACUAUUGGAAACGAUAGCUAAUACCGCAUAAGAGUAGAUGUUGCAUGACAUUUGCUUAAAAGGUGCAAUUGCAUCACUACCAGAUGGACCUGCGUUGUAUUAGCUAGUUGGUGGGGUAACGGCUUACCAAGGCGACGAUACAUAGCCGACCUGAGAGGGUGCUCGGCCACACUGGGACUGAGACACGGCCCAGACUCCUACGGGAGGCAGCAGUAGGGAAUCUUCGGCAAUGGACGGAAGUCUGACCGAGCAACGACGCGUGAGUGAAGAAGGUUUUCGGAUCGUAAAGCUCUGUUGUAAGAGAAGAACGAGUGUGAGAGUGGAAAGUUCACACUGUGACGGUAUCUUACCAGAAAGAGACGGCUAACUACGUG
rnacentral:rRNA from 1 species